rnacentral:misc_RNA from 1 species
GCUAACGUGCAUUUUAGAUUGACUCCUAGCUUGCUAGAAUUAGCUCACUAGUGGAUUUUGGUGUUCACGGUAAUCAUCUAAAAAAGCAUUCACCUUGAUUUUAUGUAUAGUCUGGGCUAGAAAACAUGAUUAAUGCUAGGGUUGUGCAUGGUUCUUGAACUCGAGAACCAAAGUAAAAUCGAAAAAGAACGAACAUUAUAGGAACUGAAUCAAACUUACGUUAUUGUUUUGGUUCUUUGUCAAAAUUUGAAUUGAACAAGACUCAAAACAAUGCGCCAAAAGAACACAGAGAAAGACGAUGGUUUUGGUAGGAAAGACAAAACAAGGACUAAACGGAAUAUGAAUAGACAAACUCUUAAAGUAAGGAAUAAACACACUAGAUAGGAGGAUUAAACUAGAACAAAUUUGCUUUGAAGAAGGAACAAAACACUCCACUUUGAGAGAAAACUAGCUCACGCCAAGAAGACAAGAAACUAACUAAUUGAAAUUGAAAAUGAUGUAAACUUAAUGAAACAAGCAAUAAACACGCCAAAAUAAAGGAACACUCAUUUUAUGGUUUUUAUGGUUUUAUGAACAUAAACACAAAAACAAUGAUAGAAAUGUAGAAAAGAGAGAUAGCUAAGGUGAUGUAAGCUCCUUUGAUAAGAUGGAAUCGCUACAAAGAAGAAACCCACCAAGUAAAGACGCCACAAUCCUAGCUAGGGAAUGUGAUAAGUCAAACAAGAUGCCACAAUCAAGGUUAUUGCCAAGUUUAAAAUCUUCACUACUCUUAAGAGUGAUC